rnacentral:rRNA from 1 species
GACGAACCCUGGCGGCGUGCUUAACACAUGCAAGUCGACCGAGGUCCAUCCGGUGGCACCACCGGAGAAGACCUAGCGGCGAACGGGUGAGUAACACGUGAGCAACCUGCCCCGAAGACCGGGAUAACAUCGGGAAACCGGUGCUAAUACCGGAUGCCCACAUCGGACCGCAUGAUCCGAUGAGGAAAUGGAUUGCGCUUCGGUAGGUGCUCGCGGGCUAUCAGCUUGUGGGUGAGGUAACGGCUCACCAAGGCUACGACGGCUAGCUGGUCUGAGAGGACGACCAGCCACACUGGGACUGAGACACGGCCCAGACUCCUACGGGAGGCAGCAGUGGGGAAUCUUGCGCAAUGGGCGAAAGCCUGACGUAGCAACGCCGCGUGGGGGAUGAAGGCCUUCGGGUCGUAAACCCCUUUCAGCAGGGACGAAACUGACGGUACCUGCAGAAGAAGCCCCGGCCAACUACGUGCCAGCCGCCGCGGUAACAC